UGUCGAUAAGAAAGAUGGAGAUUUUGAUGAUAAAUCAUAUGACAGGUUCUCCAAUCUCCCAACUGCGAAAGAUGUGCAUAUAAUUGAAUACUAGGAUCUUCCCCAAGCAUAUGUGGUUAGUUAGCAUAAAUUUCAGGUUCCCUUCGUCUUGUUUAAACUUGGCUUCAACCUUCAGUGAGGAGAUUUGCUAUAUCUAUAUCUAUGUCGUUCCGCGGGCGUGGUCGUUGUUCCCUGUUUGUGCUUCACUUCAGAAUUGUUAUCCUACCUUCGUGGUACCAGAUGACUCGGUUGGUGACGUGCAAGUCUAGAUCUGUAAGUUUUCAUGUUUUUAAACAACAAAUGUUGUAAUGUACUAUUUACCUUCAUGUCUGAAUUAAUCAUGUAUAUAAGAGAGAAAAAACUGCGAGUAACAUUUUCCGUAAGUUUCAGAAUAUGGCCAUUGUUGACAACAAGGUAAUAUUGUUAUAGAAUUUAAGUUCAGCUAGAUAGGUCCAAUUGUUCCGUUAAUUUUCAUUCUCUAUCCUCCAUCUGGUAGCAAGUACUUGGCAUUUAUAGACUUUCUCUUUGCUCAGGCUGUAUGCUCUUCUUUACUGAAGUGGGAGAAAUACGGUUCUCAGAUAAACUUCGAUGUUUAAUACACUGCUCUUAUAUUUCAUCGAUAAAUACACCAAGAUUUGUAUUUUUGUGUCCUGUAACUAACAUUAUGAUGGCACUAUCAGAUCCAUGCCUCCUCGCACACUCACCGAGACAUCUUCGAAUGAACUGCAGGAGGGUGGGUGGAGGGCGGAGGGCGCGCUCACCGGUGCUCUGGCAUCAUGCUCGAUGAGGAAGAGGGCUUGGCGUCGGGGACGUGAACCUGGUUGUGGCGUCGGAUGCAUGGCGCAGCUGGCGCAACUUCCUAUGGCCGCACGACGAGGCAUUUGGCCGCGCAGCGAGGCAGGGCCCAAACUCCAUGACAACUUUCUUCCUCGGCGGCAGAUGAACCCUGUUGUUCAUGAUGAGGAGAUCAACCCUGUUGUGUAUUUUAUCUAAUGGUUUCAAACCAUGUUGUUCAUGAUGUGGAGAUGAACCCUGUUGGUCAUGUAAGUUAGAUGCUUGGAUUGUGAAUCCUUGAAUGUUUCAAAAUGUUGGUUUCAAACCUAGAUUGCUUGGAAAUAUUGGUUUUAAACA